UCCUUAGAUGUUCUGGGCCGCACGCGCGCUACAAUGAUGAAUUCAACGAGUUUAUAACCUUGGUUGAAAAGCCUGGGUAAUCUUUUGAACUUUCGUCGUGAUGGGGCUAGACCCUUGCAAUUAUUGGUCUCCAACGAGGAAUUCCUAGUAAACGCAAGUCAUCAGCUUGCAUUGAUUACGUCCCUGCCCUUUGUACACACCGCCCGUCGCACCUACCGAUUGAAUGGUCCGGUGAAAUCUUCGGAUUGAGACUUUGAUUUCUUCACGGAAAACGCUGUUUUAAAAAGUUGAUUAAACCUUACCAUUUAGAGGAAGGUGAAGUCGUAACA
rnacentral:rRNA from 1 species